rnacentral:rRNA from 1 species
UACGGAGGAUGCAAGCGUUAUCCGGAAUUACUGGGCGUAAAGGGCUCGUAGGCGGCCAACUAAGUCAGACGUGAAAUCCCUCGGCUUAACCGGGGAACUGCGUCUGAUACUGGAUGGCUUGAGUUUGGGAGAGGGAUGCGGAAUUCCAGGUGUAGCGGUGAAAUGCGUAGAUAUCUGGAGGAACACCGGUGGCGAAGGCGGCAUCCUGGACCAACACUGACGCUGAGGAGCGAAAGCCAGGGGAGCAAACGGG